GUGCUCGCUUCGGCAGCAUAUAUACUAAAAUUGGAACCAUAUAGAGAAGAUUAGCACAGCCUCUGCACCAGGAUGACAUGCAAAAAAAGGAAAGAAAGGAGAAAAAAAUGUCUUU
ensembl:snRNA U6 U6 spliceosomal RNA